UAAAACGUAGGGGGCUAGCGUUGCCCGGAUUCACUGGGCGUAAAGCGGGUGUAGGCGGUUCUCUAAGUCGGAUGUGAAAUCCAGCGGCCCAACCGCUGAAUUGCAUCCGAUACUGGGGAACUUGAGGACGGUAGAGGUCGGUGGAAUUCCCGGUGUACCGGUGAAAUGGACAGAUAUCGGGAGGAACACCAGUGGCGAAGGCGGCCGACUGGGCCGAUCCUGACGCUGAGACCCGAAAGCCAGGGUAGCGAACCGGAUUAGAUACCCGGGUAGUCCUGGCCGUAAACGGUGCGAACUAGGUGUGGGGACCUUCACGGUCUCCGUGCCGAAGCUAACGCAUUAAGUUCGCCGCCUGGGGAGUACGGCCGCAAGGCUA
rnacentral:rRNA from 1 species